GAAAUUCGUUGGAAGUGUUUUUCGUAUAGGUACGCAAGUUUAUCUGCUCUAUAGAGCACCACUGAUUUGGUGAUAAAAACUUGAUAGAUAUAACAUUAGUGUUACAACUGUUACACUUCAAUUUGCACUCGUUAUUUGAUAUUGUUGCGAUUCGGUAGUGAAUCUUAAUAUGGGCAUUCAUGGAAGUUCGCACAGCUGAUAAGAUCCUAUUCAUUUGGACCAAUCAUUAAGGCUUUGGCACUUGCUACACAUUGUACAUUUUCAUUCCUGUGUUGAAAAGCAACAUCAACUACAAAGCAUAAAAAAAUUUGCGAAUUUGAUAAAGAAUAACAUGUGGAAUUUGUCCUAUGGAGUGAUUAUCCUAUGCUGGAUUGCAAUCGUACCAUCAUUGUUUUGUUUAGACACAACGCCAACUUUAAAGCCAGAAAAAGUCGGAAAUUCAUCAACAAAGAAUAUCACAAACAACACCAACAGCACGAACUACAGCAAUGUCACAAAUCGUAACAGCAGCAGCAGAAGCAGCAGCACGAAUCACACGUGGACUUUGACCUAUGGAGUGAUGACCGUGCAUUGGAUCGCCAUCAUACCAGCACUCAUCUGCCUACUCAUUCAUAUUUUCAAAUUUUUCCAAAGUGGUAAAAUAUCAAAGCAAAGCUUGGAAACUAAAAAUCUUACUUUUUACUGUUUUCUUUUAUUAUUGUACGUAAUUUUUACUUUCACACACUUUUUACGAGUAUCGUCGAAUGCACGAUUAUACGUGUAUUUCCUGUACGUAUACAUCACAUUUGCAGUAAUGAUUUUCAAACUGAUAAUCAUUCUGGAUUUGUGUUUCCCGGUUGGCAAAACGGCAUUUUUUAGACAGUGCAUCUGAAUAGGGAUAUGACCACAUAUCAGUCAGAAUGUAUUUUCUGACUGCCAAAACGGCAAUAUCUGACUGUGGUUCUGAGUGUGGAUCUGACUAGUCAGAUCCACGCUCAGAUCUCCACUCAGUUUUCUGACGUGUCAGCGCCAUCUUGGAAUUUCAAAAAAAUACUUGUUUCUGAUUGGUUGAUUGUAGUCAGACUGCGAAUCUGACUGUCAAAACGGCAAUUUCUGACCGCAGAAAUGAGUAGUCAGAUAUCACCAGAAAUGUGCCAAUCGGGUUGUGUUUUCGCAAAAUUGCUUUGUCCUUGAAAGUACCUCCCCCAAAUACUUGUAACAAAAAAUUUCGCGUUUAUUGCAUUUUAGGAAUAAGCAUUCCUUUACUUUUUUUCCUACCAGCUGGAAUUUUCACUAACUGUGAAUUGACUCAUUAUAUGAAUGAAGUGGUCUGCAUCAUUAGUAUCUAUUGCUUGAUUCCGACUGCUUUUGCGUUUAGGUAUAUACGAAUAGCUACCGUCGAUAAAACUGUACUAUGGUCUAAGUUUUCUUUGCAUAUGCGUCUUCUAAUAAUGCUUGGAAUUUUUGCUGUUUUGGUAAGUGUUGCGCACGUGUAUGGACUAAUUAUGAAGGUGUUCUUUCAUAUUCCCUGUGAUUCUGAUAUUGAACAUGUACAAGUGAUGUGUACCGCUCUAGAAUGUAUCUUUAUUGCAGUAUUGUUUACUUUAAGAGAAGAUGCGUUUCAACAUGUUCAUACAACUGGACAAUUACGUACCUCUUAAUUAACUUAUUUCAAAAAAAGAUGAGGGGAAAUAGGUACCUAUAACCUUACAAGGGAUGAAGGCAACUAUCUGAACUGACAUUCUCCGAUUUGAACGAAACAAUCUAUAGAACGAAAGAGCAUGUCUUAAACCCAAAUAACUAAAAUGUGAGGUGCUGAAGUUUAUUUUUGGGUUUUUGGUAAAUUUUUGAAAAUUUAAAAAAUUAAAAAAAAUCUGUUUUAUGGGUAUUGGGCAAUUUUAUACCAUUUUCAUGAAAUAUAAAUUUUUUUGAACAAAGUGAACCAAUGUGAAAAUCUCUUGAUAAAUCAUCAGCUACUUAAUAGUUUUGGGCUAUUCCGGAGCCUCCAGGGCGAUCUUUCAAUUUUCUCCAGAAACUUUGUUCGACUUCCGAAGAGCCAAAAAGUAACUUUAGGGUGUUUACUGAGCACUCUCUUGACUUUUUGGGUGUUAUCUUGAAAUCCCAGGAGUGAAUUUUAGACCAACUUCUACAUUCCAUCUUCAUAGAAAGUGUACCACAAGCAAUUCUUUCAUCAAGCUAUCUCUGAUGUGUGUACACGACCUCGCGAGCUGAAAAGUCGUGAUGUAAAUGAUUUUGCUGAAGCUUCCGGUGAUUUUCAGUAGGUACCUACCUAUUUAUUUUUGAAAAAUUUCAAAUCAAUAUGGAAGUAUGAAACAUUAGACUAGGUACCAUCGAACUCACACUCCUGGAAUUUUGAGGUACCCAACUACUUGAAACGGUCAAGAGAGUGUCCAAUAAUCACUGACCGAAAUACUGGGAACAAAAGUUCAUUUUUGGCUCCUCCAAAGCGAUUUGAAAUUUCUUGGAAAAAUAGAAAAAUCAUUGGAGGCUCUCGAAUGGUCCAAAAUCAGUAAUAUAGGUGUAGAGUUGAAUUGAAGGAAUUAUUCAAAUUGGUUCACAUUGCUAAAAAAAAUUACAUUUCACGAAAAAGUUUGAAAAUUGUCCUUGAAACAGCUGCUUUAAAUUUUUUUAAUUUUUAAAAAUUCGACAAAAAUCCAAAAAUGAAGUUUAGGAUUUGUAAUUUGGGUAACGUGGAUUUCCAAAGAUGCUCUUUCGAUGUGGUUCAGUUUCGUUCAAAUUGGAGAGUACAUACAAGUUCAAAAGAUUCCCUUGUUGAAUACAAAAAAAAAAAAAAAAAAUGGAGGAUUUUGAUGAAAUUCAAUAGAGGUUUUCAUUUUGAGUUGAAAAUCAUGAUCCUGGGAAAACAUUUUUGGCUCCGGAGUGUCUCUGGAGGGGAGUUAAGAGUCCUCAAAGAGGAGAUAUUCUUGAGAGAAUCGUGGUUUUUUCGUUCAAGCCCCUACCCAACCUGUUUUGGAAAUUAAAAUGGUCUAAGUACUUCUAAAAGAUAGUAUUGGAGAAAUUCUGUGUCGAAUCAGCUGCCAUUGCCAUCAAAAUCCAAGACCACUUUUAAGAUUCUACUCAGCGAUUGAAAUUUACAAGUCGCUUAUUUUUGAGUAAAUUUGUGAUUUGAAAAUAUUUUCUUCUCAAAAAUUUCACAUUUACUAUGCCAAAUAUGAAAAGAUAUCAUUUCUGAAAUUGGGAAACUAUUUUGGAACAGAAUGGUGCAAAUUUUUGUGAUUUUUGCCAAUUUCAAAAAUCAAGGAAAAUUUUGGUUUUUUGAGAUUGGCAACAAUGAUUAAAAAAUUGGCACCAUUGUAUUUCAAAAUAUUCCUCUUGCUUCAGAAACGAUAUGUUUUGAUGUUUUGGAAUAAUUAAUGCGGAAUAUUUGACCAGAAAACGAUUUCAAAAUACAAAUUUCCCCAAAAAUGAGGGAUUUUUGAAUUUUUAACCCUUUAGUAGAGCUCUGAAGAAGUCAGGAAUUUUGAUGACAGUGGCCUAUGUUGACGGAAAAUUUUAAAUCCAGCGGGAAAAAAAUACUAUCUAUUAUUCCGAGAAUGCCUCCUCUGUGAGGGCUCAAAACUCCCUUCCAGAGGCACUUCCAUGAUCCUAAAUUUUUUCUGAGUGAUUUUCAACUGAAAGCGAAGGUCUCCACUAAAUUUGGCCAAAAUCCUCCGUCAUUUUUAUUUUGCAACACACCUUAAUGUUUAGAUAUGCUUUAGCAUUCCACUGAAGUGGUAAAAUUUCACACUGCUUUUUCAUUUUGAAUUAAAUUGAAUUUAUCAAUGCAGUAUUUGUUUUAAUGUUUAAUGAAUGUGAAUGUUAUUUAUUUAUAAGACGAUAAUACCUAAUUAAAAUAUUUUUAUUUUGA